UACGAAGGGGGCUAGCGUUGCUCGGAAUUACUGGGCGUAAAGCGUGCGCAGGCGGUUCGUUAAGUCAGAUGUGAAAGCCCCGGGCUCAACCUGGGAACUGCAUUUGAAACUGGCGGGCUUGAGUAUGGCAGAGGGGGGUGGAAUUCCGCGUGUAGCAGUGAAAUGCGUAGAGAUGCGGAGGAACACCGAUGGCGAAGGCAGCCCCCUGGGCCAAUACUGACGCUCAGGCACGAAAGCGUGGGGAGCAAACAGG
rnacentral:rRNA from 1 species